UAAGCCAUGCAAGUCGUGCGCUCUCAAGCUAUGUUGAGGGCGCGGCGAACGGCUCCGUAACACGUAGUUAACCUACCCUCGGGAUGGGGAUAACCCCGGGAAACUGGGACGAAUACCCACUAGAUGAUUAUACCUGGAAUGGCUUAUCAUCGAAAGACGCUGGAAACAUGCUUCCAGCGUCGCCCGAGGAUGGGACUGCGUCCGAUCAGGUUGUUGGCGGGGUAACGGCCCACCAAGCCUAUAACCGGUACGGGCCCUGAGAGGGGGAGCCCGGAGAUGGAAACUGAGAAAAGGUUCCAGGCCCUACGGGGUGCAGCAGGCGCGAAACCUCCACAAUGCGCGAAAGCGUGAUGGGGUUAUCCCGAGUGCCGUCCGAUGAGGAUGGCUUUUCAUCGGUGUAAGGAUCCGAUGGAAUAAAGGGGGGGCAAGACUGGUGUCAGCCGCCGCGGUAAUACCAGCCCCCUGAGUGGUAAGGACGAUUAUUUGGCCUAAAGCGUCCGUAGCCGGCUUAUCAAGUCUUUUGUUAAAUCCAACGAUUCAAUCGUUGGGCCGCAAAAGAUACUGUUAUGCUAGAGGACGGGAGAGGUCGACGGUAGUCCAGGGGUAGGGGUGAAAUCCUAUAAUCCUUGGAGGACCACCAGUGGCGAAGGCGGUCGACUAGAACGUGCCUGACGGUGAGGGACGAAAGCUGGGGGAGCGAACCGGAUUAGAUACCCGGGUAGUCCCGGCUGUAAACGAUGCGGGCUAGGUGUUGGGGUAGCCACGAGCUGCCCCAGUGCCGCAGAGAAGUUGUUAAGCCCGCCGCCUGGGGAGUACGGCCGCAAGGCUGAAACUUAAAGGAAUUGGCGGGGGAGCACCACAAGGGGUGAAGGCUGCGGUUUAAUUGGAU
rnacentral:rRNA from 1 species